AGCUUUGCGCAGUGGCAGUAUCGUAGCCAGUGAGGUUUAUCCAAGGCGCGAUUAUUGCUAAUUGAAAACUUUUCCCAAUACCCCGCCAUGACGACUUGAAAUAUAGUCGGCAUUGGCAAUAAAAAAAAAAAAAAAAA